rnacentral:rRNA from 1 species
UACGAAGGGGGCUAGCGUUGCUCGGAAUCACUGGGCGUAAAGGGUGCGUAGGCGGGUCUUUAAGUCAGGGGUGAAAUCCCAGAGCUCAACUCUGGAACUGCCUUUGAUACUGGGUAUCUCGAGUCCGAGAGAGGUGAGUGGAAUUCCGAGUGUAGAGGUGAAAUUCGUAGAUAUUCGGAGGAACACCAGUGGCGAAGGCGGCUCACUGGCUCGGUACUGACGCUGAGGUGCGAAAGCGUGGGGAGCAAACAGG